GUAGGUAACAUCGAUGAAGCUACUGCGAAAGCUACGACCUUAGAAACUUAGAAAUGGAGAGCUAAUUGAAGAAAUGACCUUAAAUCUUUGUGUACUGACCCCGAAUCGCAUUGUUUGGGAUUCGGAAGUGAAAGAAAUUAUUUUAUCUACUAAUAGUGGACAAAUUGGUGUAUUACCAAAUCACGCGCCUAUUGCCACAGCUGUAGAUAUCGGUAUUUUGAGAAUACGCCUUAACGACCGAUGGUUAACGAUGGCUCUGAUGGGCGGUUUUGCUAGAAUAGGCAAUAAUGAGAUCACGGUUUUAGUAAAUGAUGCGGAGAAGGGUAGUGACAUUAAUCCACAAGAAGCUCAACAAACUCUUGAAAUUGCAGAAACUAACUUGAGGAAAGCGGAAGGCAAGAGACAAACAAUUGAGGACAAAUUUAGCUCUCAGACGAGCUAGGACACGAGUCGAGGCUAUCAAUGUGAUGUCAUAACUAGUUGAUCCGUGACCAAAUAAGACAAAAUAAGGUGUAUAAACACCUUAUUUUGCUUAUUCGGCCCGAAUUUUGUUCCGGCCGAGUGAAUAAGAAUAAAAAAAGAGGUUGAGUAGAAAAACUUAUUAGAUACCAUCGAUUCCGUUAUCUAAUAAGUUCUACCUACUAUUGGAUUUGAACCAAUGACUCCCGCCGUAUGAAAGCAAUACUCUAACCACUGAGUUAA